UUAAAUCGUUUGGUUGCUCGGUGACGCAGCUCAAAAGGCCAGAAGUGCCUUUUCCAGCCUAUAGCUGUAAAUAGAUAAAAUAAAUGUACUAUCCACAUCAAUGUUUAGGAUUUAUAUAGGUGAAUUAAUAAGAAAAAGUGGAAGAGACCACAUCAUAGAUAUGUAGCAUCAAUUAACAGGAAGUCAGAACAUCCAGGCCUAAAUCUUGGCCAAUUGAUUCUUUAUAAGAUUCCUUGUUAGUUUUCGCAUGGGACUAUAAUCAGAAUUAGCAUCUUUACUGCUCCAUUGAGUUUGAUAAUUAGCCCACUGGAAUUUGCUGCUGGCAGAAAACAAAUACUUAUUUAUUUAGCAAUACACCCAGAGUAGGCCUUCGAGCUGCAUUGCCCAGCAACCCCCAAUGGUCUUGAUUUAACCCUAACCUAAUCACAGGACAAUUUACAAUGAACAAUUAAUUUACCUGGUACAUCUUUGGACUGUGGGUGGAAACAGGAGCACCCCGAGAAAAUGCAUGCAUUCCACGAUGAGGACGUACAGAGACUCCUUGUGGGGGAUGCUGUGAUUGAACUCUGAAUGACGUCCAGGCUGUAAUAGAUGCCAGUAUUUGCAAUCUCCAAUGUCUAUGUGUGGGAAGAGAGCUGCUGGCAUCGCUGGCCUUCGAGGAAGUGGGUGAUAGUCUCGGCUAAACAGAAAGAAAUGCAAGAGAUCCUGCAGAUGCUGGAUAUCAAGAGCAACAGAGAGAAAAUGCUGUAGGAACUCAGCAGGCCAGGCCGCAUCUAUUGAGAGGAAUAAACAGAUGACAUUUCGGGCCAAAACCCAUUCAUUUGGCCUACAAUUUUCUUGUAUGUCUCUACUGUCUUUAAGCAGAGCAACAACAUUGGCUAUACUCCAGUCCACCGGUCUGUGGAUAAAGAGGAUACAAAGUUCUGUUACACCCCCAGAAAUCUUCUUUCUUGCCCCUCUUGGCUACCUGCAAUAGACCUCAUCAGGCCCUUCUAUGUCUGUGAAGAUUACCCUGCUGAUAUCAUUUAUUGAAAAUGGGUUAUGAAUCAGCUAAAAUCUUAAUGUUAGAAAAAUCAGAAAGUAAUCUGCAUUUACUAGUCAAACACAGAACCAAUCUGGAUUGCAGAGUGUCAAACCUAGUCUUAACAAUCCAUAGCAUAUCAAGUCAACUAUCUUUAAAAGGCAAGACAUACAAAAAUGCAGAAUGAAGGAGUUUAGUGAAGGAGUCACUGAAUGUUCCAUUUUAACAAAGAAACCAAAAUAUUUUCCAAGGAGGUGUUUAUAGGGAAAGAACAAUGGAGUGGAAAGCAUGAAGAUCAAAUACUAAAAUACAGUACAUAAUUUGAAUGCAUCAUAAAAUCCAGUCUUUUUACUAAAAACAAAAUGUUAUAAAUUCAAUGCAAAAGGUUUUAAUAAAUAUUAGAAGCAAUCUUACAAGAAAGCGUUAUCCACAUAAAUAAUUGAAGCCUCAUUAAAACUGAAUAACUAAAAGCAAGAGAUGAGGCUCUCUAAUCAGUAAUUCAUGGUGUACUUCCGCAAAACCUGUGUCGACCUUGGAGGGAGCAAAUUGUCGGGUAUCUCACUUGUUUGAAGAAUGGCUCAUUCUGAUGAAAUAAUUGUGGUUUGUUAAAAUGGAAUUGUUAGUGUUCUACUUCUUCAUGAACUUCAUAAACUAAUUCAGCAGAAAUCAAUAAAUCUGAAUCCAUUAUCUAGCAUAAAAACAUUCACUAUGUCCACACCUCAAAGCCAUGCCCUGAAGGAAAAUCACAACAGAUGUUGAAACAAAGCAACCUAUUAAUUCUGGAAGAGCUCUCUAGCAGGCUAAUGAUGAAUUUGUUUUCCCAUGUUGAAAGGCUAACUGCAAAGAAAAUAAUGGAAACAAUGUCAUGCAUCCAAAUCUCAAAGAACAUGGAUCCUAUUUAAAAGAUGAGGUCAGUUUCCACUGAAACUUUGACCCAAUCACAUUAAGAUAAUACAAGCUAAAAUUCAAAAACCAAUAUUUAAAGAAAAAUAUUUCUGCUAUUAAUCUUCAUACUUUAAGUUGUUCAUGUACACAAUUUUGCUGGAUUUGCAUGAAUUGUAGUUGAAAAUAUCGCAUCUGAGUGAAAAUAAAUUCAGGGAAUGUAUAGCUAAAAUAAUAAAGCGUGUGAAUAGAAAGUUGCUUGGACCUUUGGACCUACAUAUUUUACUCAUUAAUUCGUCCUUAUCAUGAAAUGGAAUGGAUUGAUUCAUCAGAAAGAAAGUGACGCUCUCCCUCUGCUGUCCAUUGGUUGUAAAUACUACUGACCGAGAUGGGACUUGUUCAGACAUUCAGAAUACAGAUUCACAGCUCAAGAGCGCAGCAUCGUAGCACAGAUGACAGAGGGCUGUGCAGCUGGAGGGAAGUUGCAGAAAAGGGUGAUUGGUCAGGGCGUGAAAAGGGAAUGGAGAGGAGAGAAAUGGAUCAGCCAUCAUGAAAUGGCGGAGAGACUCAAUGGGCCGAAUAGCCUAAUUCUGCUCCCAGCUUGUAGACUUUUUUGAUAUUCACUUUUUCUAGUUGCUUAAAAGAUCUGUGAAUUAAUAGCAUUUUAAUUCUCAAAGGACUCGAUGCAAGUUUAAAAAAAGAGCUUUCUUAACAGACCAUGAGAAACAUAGAAACAUAGAAAAUAGGUGCAGGAGUAGGCCAUUCGGUCCUUUGAGCCUGCACUGCCAUUAAGUAUGAUCAUGGCUGAUCAUCCAACUCAGAACCCUGUACCUGCUUUCUCUCCAUACCCUCUGAUCCCUUUAGCCACAAAGGCCAUAUCUAAUUUCCUCUGAAAUAUAGCCAAUGAACCGGCCUCAACUGUUUUCUGUGGCAGAGAAUUCCACAGAUUCACCACUCUGUGUGAAGAAGUUUUUCCUCAUCUCGGUCCUAAACGGCUUCCCCUUUAUCCUUAAACUGUGACCCCUUGUUCUGGACUUCCCCAACAUCGGAAGCAAUCUUCCUGCAUCUAGCCUGUCCAAUCCCUUUAGAAUUUUAUACGUUUCAAUAAGAUUCCCCCCCUCAAUCUUCUAAAUUCCAGUGAGUAUAAGCCUAGUCGAUCCAGUCUUUCUUCAUUUGAAAGUCCUGCCAUCCCAGGAAUCAAUCUGGUGAACCUUCUUUGUACUCCUUCUAUGGCAAGAAUGUCUU